rnacentral:rRNA from 1 species
UACGUAGGGUGCGAGCGUUGUCCGGAAUUAUUGGGCGUAAAGAGCUUGUAGGCGGUUUGUCGCGUCUGCUGUGAAAAUCCGGGGCUCAACCCCGGACUUGCAGUGGGUACGGGCAGACUAGAAUUCGGUAGGGGAGACUGGAAUUCCUGGUGUAGCGGUGGAAUGCGCAGAUAUCAGGAGGAACACCGGUGGCGAAGGCGGGUCUCUGGGCCGACAUUGACGCUGAGGAGCGAAAGCGUGGGGAGCGAACAGG